GCCCCCUUAGUAUAAUUUAUUAUUACACUACUUUUUCAAGGUAGAAAUGUGAUUCUCUUUCCCAGGGAG
rnacentral:tRNA from 1 species